GACCUAAUAGCAAAGUUGGCAUCGCAUCCACUGCACUUGGCAGAGUAAUUCUUAUGUGGAAGUCCCUCGUUCGAAUCGAGGUUAGGUCC